rnacentral:rRNA from 2 species
ACGGGAGGCAGCAGUGGGGAAUAUUGCACAAUGGGGGAAACCCUGAUGCAGCGACGCCGCGUGAGCGAAGAAGUAUUUCGGUAUGUAAAGCUCUAUCAGCAGGGAAGAAAAUGACGGUACCUGACUAAGAAGCCCCGGCUAACUACGUGCCAGCAGCCGCGGUAAUACGUAGGGGGCAAGCGUUAUCCGGAUUUACUGGGUGUAAAGGGAGCGUAGACGGCAAGGUAAGUCUGAAGUGAAAUGCCGGGGCUCAACCCCGGAACUGCUUUGGAAACUAUCUCGCUCGAGUACCGGAGGGGUAAGCGGAAUUCCUAGUGUAGCGGUGAAAUGCGUAGAUAUUAGGAGGAACACCAGUGGCGAAGGCGGCUUACUGGACGGUAACUGACGUUGAGGCUCGAAAGCGUGGGGAGCAAACAGGAUUAGAUACCCUGGUA